rnacentral:rRNA from 1 species
UCAGGAUGAACGCUAGCGGCAGGCUUAACACAUGCAAGUCAGGGGCAGCGAGAUGUAGCAAUACAUUGUCGGCGACCGGCGCACGGGUGCGUAACGCGUAUGCAACCUACCAUAUACAGGAGGAUAACCAUUCGAAAGAAUGACUAAUACUCCAUAGUAUAUUUUGAGGCAUCUUAGAAUAAUUAAAGAAUUUCGGUAUAUGCUGGGCAUGCGUGACAUUAGCUAGUUGGAGAGGUAACGGCUCACCAAGGCUACGAUGUCUAGGGGUUUUGAGAGGAAGAUCCCCCACACUGGUACUGAGACACGGACCAGACUCCUACGGGAGGCAGCAGUGAGGAAUAUUGGUCAAUGGACGGAAGUCUGAACCAGCCAUGCCGCGUUGAAGGAAGACUGCCCUAUGGGUUGUAAACUUCUUUUAUACGGGGAUAAACCUAUCUUUGCGAAGAUAGCUGAAGGUACCGUAUGAAUAAGCAUCGGCUAACUCCGUGCCAGCCGCGGC